AAAAGACAUUUUUUGUAAUUCAUUUUUAAAAAUCGAGUUAUUAGUUAACAAUUAUGUUGAUUCGAAUUAUUAUAGUACUUUUAAAUGGGAAAAAUUGUUCAGUAUUAAAAAUGAUGUAAUAAAUAUAAAAGUAGUAUGGGAAUGGGAAAACAGUAAGAAUAUUUCACAUAAUAGUUAUGUUUGUAAUAAAGAUAUAAGUAGUUGUAAGUUACAAAAUAAUGAAAAAAAUAAUUUACAAACUUUAAUAAAUGUAGAUAAUAUAAUAACAUUAAUAACUAACGAAAAUGUUAAAAAUGUGCGAAUUUCUUUUAUAUUUUUGGAUCAAAAAGAUUUUCAUAAUAUAUUAGUUACUAUAUAUUUUCAUUUUAACCCAAGUGGUUAUAUAACAAAAAAUAUAUAUCUUAACCAUUUGUUUUUUAAUUCUUUUAGAAUUUCUAACAUAAAAGGAAUGAUUAUAAAUUUAAUAUUUAUCAUAGUAAUAGUCUUUUUUUUUAUUGUAUUAUAUCUGCAUUCUUUUGUUAAUUUUUCUAUUUUUUAUAGAAUAUGUUAUUUUGAGUUGCAAAAAGUGGAUGAUCAGAAAACAAAAGAAGUUGAUGAUAUUACCAUUGGUCAGUUUGGUAACCAAGCCGGUUAUAGUAAUGGUGGAGUUGCUUAUGGAAAUGAAAAUGUUUUUUAUGGAGGUAACGGUCUGAAAAACUACGAUAAUGCCGAUUUGAAGAAAAAAAGUAACAAAAAGAAAAAUGACUUUCGUGUCAGUUUGUUUUUAAAGCUAAAUAUUUAUGCUAUUUAUGUUUGCGAAGGGUACAGCAUAAAUUUGAUAACUUUGUUGUUACAUUUAUUGAUUAUUUUAUUAUGGUUAGUUAUGUUUAUAUAUAUUAACAUGGUAAAUUAUUAUAAGAAAUAUAUUUUUGUUUAUUUAGACCUUUCUGAAAACAUUUUUUCAGUUUUUACAACUUUUAUAAAUAUUUUUUAUAUAUUCCUUUUUUUUAAUAUAAUACAUAUGUUUAUAUUUGUAUCUAAUACUGUUAAAAAGGAGAAAAUAUAUGAGGCAUUAUAUAUCAACAGAAAACAACUGUUAAAAUGUAUGUGUUUGUGGAUUUUUUUUUACUUUAACUUUUUUAUGUUUAAUUAUUUUUUUAAUGGCAUAGAUGGUUUUAACGACUUAACACUAUAUCAGCAAUGUAUGUAUUCCAUUUUGGUAUUAUUAGGUUUAGCGGAAUUAGAAAUAUAUCUAAAAUGUAAACUUUUUUAUUUCUUUUUCUUUGUUUUGCCGCAUUGGAUUUUUAUACGUUUUAUUUUGAUUUAUUCAUUGUUGGCUCCUAUUAUAGCUAGUUACAUUAUUUUGAUUAAAG
rnacentral:lncRNA from 1 species